GCCUGUUGCUCCUACAAGCAAGUUGAUCAUGUUCAUGGAGUAAUACUUGUUACUUAGAUAAAAAAAUGUUUAUAGGCAAGUUGGAAUUCAAAUUUCAUCCAGUUGUCUUGUUGAUUUGAGUCAUUCUUCCUUAUCAAAUUACUUUGCCCUCUUCAGUUGCAAUGGUGGAACUUUGUCAUGGAUCUUUUUAUAUCCCUCAAUUUCAGGUUACACCAGACGAAUAAUUUGCAGUGGACGCUCGCAUCUAUACCGUUAAUUAAAGCCUUGCAUCUGUACUAUCUAUCUGGGCUGCAGUGAAUUAUUCUUGUUGUAGAUCGAUCCUUCAGUUUGUGUUCUGUGGUGUUGAAAGUUGAAGAGAGAUCGAUUGAUAUGGGAAUGAAAAUGGGUGGUUUGGUAGAGAAGGGCAGAGAGAUCCAUAAGUCCCUUAUUUUCUGAAGUCCUUGC
rnacentral:lncRNA from 1 species